rnacentral:snoRNA from 1 species
GUAAAUUACUUAGAUGGAGUCAGCCUUAAAGAAUGUAGAGAACCGUUUACGACUAGUGGCCUUUUCAACAGUCGUAAACGGUUCUCUACAUUCUUUAAGGCUGACUCCAUCUAAGUAAUUUAC